CAAGAGAGGUGAUUCUCAGGUUCCAUUCUGGUUCCGCCUAGAACAUCUUCGCGUGCAAAUUCGUAAAAUCAUCAUGAUCGAUUUUGAAAGGGUAUUUUUCAAGUUCAUUUGCCUUAGCUCGACGAUUGAAUUAGAGCUGGUCCAAAAACAUUUUAGCGACACACCCGCUAUCCCUUUCUCUCGCCUCCAGCGGCGCGGCCCCAACGGCGAUCGUGGGCGAGCCGGCGACAGCGACCCCAGGUACAGCGAAGCACACACUCGUGCCACUCAGCGAGCCCGGCGACAGGUGCGGUGGGCUUCAGCGAGGUAAAACUCUCCGUUCCUCGCCUUCGCGUGUACCGUAGGCCUAGGUUUUGAUUUCGAAUCUGCACGGGCCCUCCCCGUGAGGCUGCGAUUGAGGGGGCGAGAGAUGCAGAUUUGAUCCAGUUUUUAUUUCUUUAGAUCGAGAGGGGUGAUUGCCGAGCUGCAUCUCCAGUGGAAACGAAACCAUAUCUACUUACAUAGUCUAAAACCUUUUCAUCUCCCUGCUCUAAGCUCGAGCGAUGUUCAAGCUCCUAGAGAAAUUCUGAUUCUUCAGGUAUUUUUAGCACAAGACAUUGAAGUACCAGUGCCAGCUUCGAUCCAGUUGCGCUAUGUUACCUCCUCGGGGAUCAUCGAUUUUGAGCUCUUUCUACUUAACCUUUUCCUUGAAGAUAAGAUGCGUUUCUGUAUGCCUCACAUUCUCAACUGCUCCAACCCAUCCUAGUCGCCAUUGCUCUCUAGCUCAGGAGUUUCGACUUUGGUGGUGUUCGUUUGGUUGCUAGUAGUACCAUGAUAGGAGAGGAGACUCGAGUGUUGUCAUCUUGGUUGCAAGUACGUACCAUGAUAGGAGAGGUGGCUACAAGAAGAAGACUACAGAGGCAGCGCGCCUUUCAUGAGCGAGGGCGGGUAACGUCUAGACUAGCCAAGGUUGGUGAGUGCAUUAUCCAUUCAUUUUUUGACCGCGUCCUAAAUUCUGCGCCAAACAUGACCCCUGGCCACUAAUUGCCCUUUUUCCAAAGAGGUUUUGACUACAUCUCUGUGCUCUACUUUAUUGUGCCCAGGUCACCUCGUCCUCUACACUCAAUGCUGAUUUUCCAAGCUGGAGGGAGAUAGUGAAUUUGGAGCAAUGCACAGGAGUUUGACAGCCAUCCCCUCACCGUUGUAGCCUCAUACAGACACACGCCAUCUGGAGUUUGUGGAAGGAGCGAAAUGCUCCAAUCUUGAAAGAUGGCACCUCCUGCCCCUUUCAGGGAGAUUAAUCUAUCCUGGAUGAUAAUGAUGAUGAUGAUGAGUUGAUAAGGAUGAAGACAAUGAUGAGGAUGAAAACGAUGAUGAUGAUGUUGAGGAUCUAAGCAGAGCAAGAGUGAGAAGAAGAGCAGGAAAGCCAUGCAGAAACUUGGCAUGAAGGCCACCACUGGCGUGAGCUGUGUCACUGUCAACAAGAGCGAGACCGUUAUGUUUGUCGUCUCCAAGCCAUAUGCCAUCUGUUGUUGUAGGUUUUUUCCUAAAAACUCAGCAUUCUCUUCUUAAUUAAUAGAUGAGGCAAAGCUUUUCCUUCCAUUUUAAAAAAAAGAGCCCGCACUGAGACGCCUACAUCAUCUUCGGGGAGACCAAGAUCAAGGACCUGAGCAACCAGCUGCAGCCGCAAGCCACGGAGCAGUUGAAGGCACCAACGGGCGGGAGAGGCGUCCCCUCGAAGGGUGAGCACAACCGUGGCGAUGACCCAGGACGACAAGGAGGAAGACAAGAUGGCCGUGGACAAGAAGACAUUGAGCUCCUGAUGACGCAGGCCUCCGCAGUGGGCCUCCGUGCCAAGAUACAGGGCUGUGAAGGCGCCCAAGGCUUCCAAUGGCGACAUCGUCAGCUCCAUCAUGGAGCCGACCAACUAGGCACUGGGAGGUUGAACUUUGACUUGAUAAUAGGGGUGUUUGGUGGUAGUAUUUUUGGCCAUGCCAUCUUGGAUGUUGCAGCUGCGGAACUGGAUGUUCUAUUCGUGUCUCUUCAGAUCGCUGGCGAAAGGCGGAGGAAGAUCCCAGGGAUUUGAUUGCUUUUUGCUUUAUUUUCCUAGGGUCUUGUUUGCAAAGUUGGAGCCCUUAUCUCUAAUUAUUAGAUUCUCUAGUGCAAUAGAUGCCAGAGGGGCUUCAUGUAAAUUGUACCCGCCACUGUUCUCUCGUUUUAUAAUAUAAGCAGCUCUGGGGCCUCCGGGCCCUUCCCUUGUUCAAAA